CCCCUAGAUGUCCUGGGCCGCACGCGCAAUACAAUGUAAAGUUCAGAAAGCAUAUCCUGUUCCGGAAGGCAAUGGGUAAUCUUUUCAAUAUUUUACGUGUUAGGGAUCGAUCUUUGCAAUUAUAGAUCUUGAACGAGGAAUACCUAGUAAGUGCAGCUCGUCAGGCUGUACUGAUUACGUCCCUGCCCUUUGUACACACCGCCCGUCGCUCCUACCGAUUUCGAGUGGUCCGGUGAAUCUUUUGGAAUUAGAGUGCAAACUCAAACUAAGAUCGAUAAACCUUAUCACUUAGAGGAAGGAGAAGUCGUAACA
rnacentral:rRNA from 1 species